GGGAGAUACAGGGAGGGAGAGAUGGAGAGAGAUAGAGGGAUAAAGAGAUAUAGAGAGGGAGAUACAGAGAGAUGGAGAUACAGAGAUAGAGAGAGAGGGAGAUAUAGAGAGAUACAGAGAGAGAGAGGGAGAUAUGGGGGGAGAGAUGGGGGGAGAGAGAGAUAUAGAGAUAGAGGGAGAUACAGAGAGAGAGGGAGAGAUGGAGGGAGAUGGAGGGAGAUAUAGAGAUAGAGAGAGGGAAAUAUAGAGGUAGAGAGGGAGAUAGAGGGGGAGAGAUAGAUAUAGAGAUAGAGGGAGAUGGAGGGAUAUAGAGGGAUAUAGAGAGAUACAGAGGGAGAGAUAGAGAUAGAGGGAGAGAUAGAGAGAGAUAUAGGGGGAGAGAUAGAGAUGGAGGGAGAUAGAGAGAGAUAUAGAGGGAUAGAGGGAGAUACAGAGGGAGAUGGAGAGAUGGAAGGAGGGGGAGAUAUAGGGGGAGAGAUGGAGGGAGAUAGAGGGAAAUAGAGAGAGAGAGAUAUAGAGGGAUACAGAGGGAGAUAGAGAGAUGGGGGAGAUAUACAGAGGGACAUAGAGGGAGAUAGAGAGAGAGAGGGAGAUAGAGAGAUAGAGAGGGAGAUACAGAGAGAUACAGAGAUGGAGGGAGAGAUAUAGAGAUGGAGAUAUAGAGAGAGAUAGAGAGAUAGAUAGAGAUACAGAGAGAGAUAUAGAGAGAGAUAGAGGGAAAUAGAGAGAGGGAGAUAGGGAAAUAUAGAGAUAGAUAUAGAGGGAGAGAUAGAGAUGGGGGGAGAGAGAGAGAAAGGGGGAUAUAGAGGGGGAGAUGGAGAUAGAGGGAGAUGGAGAUAGGGAGGGAGAUAUAGAGAUACAGAGGGAGAUAUAGAGAUACAGAGGGAGAUAUAGAGAGAGAGAGAGAGAUAGGGGGAGAGAUAGAGAGAUAGAGAUAGAGGGAGAGAUGGAGGGAGAGAGAUGGAGGGGGAUAUAGAGAUAGAGGGAGAUAUAGAGAGAGAUAUACAGGGAGAGAUAGAGAUAGAGGGAGAGAUGGAGAGAGAGAUAGAGGGAGAUAUAGAGAGAGAGGGAUAUAGAGGGGAUAUAGAGAGAUAGAGGGAGAUAGAGGGGGAGAUACAGGGGUGGAUAUAGAGGGGAUAUAGAGAUAGAGAUAUGGAGGGAGAGAGAGAUGGAGGGAGAGAGAGAUGGAGGGAGAGAGAUAGGGGGAGAUAUAGAGAGAGAUAGGGGGAGAGAUAGGGAUAGAGGGAGAGAUAGGGGGAGAUAGAGGGGGAUAUAGAGGGAGAGAUGGAGAUAUAGAGAGAUAGAGGGAGGUAUAGGGAUAGAGGGGGAGAUGAUAGAGAUACAGAGGGAUAUAGAGGGGAUAUAGAGAGAUAGAGGGAGAUAGGUAGAGAGAGGGAGAUAGGGAGAUAGAGGGAAAGAUGGAGGGAGAGAUGGAGAUGGAAGGAGAUAUGGAGAUGGAGGGAGAGAGAGAGGGAGAGAUAGAGGGAUAUAGAGAGAUAUAGAGGGAUACAGAGGGAGAUACAGAGAUAGAGGGAGAGAUGGAGGGAGAUAUAGGGGGAGAUAUAGGGGGAGAUGAUAUAGGGG
ensembl:lncRNA